rnacentral:rRNA from 1 species
GAUGAACGCUAGCUACAGGCUUAACACAUGCAAGUCGAGGGACCGGCGGACGGGGGAGUAACACGUAUCCAACCUGAACUUUCCUCGGGGAUAGCGUUUCGACAGAGAGAUUAAUACCCAUUAUAAAGGAGGGGGAUGCGUGCCAUUAGGUGGUUGGUGAGGUAACGGCAAACCAAGCCUUCGAUGGAUAGGGGUUCGGAUAGGAAGGCACCCUACAUUGGAACUGAGACACGGUCUAAACCCAGACGGGAGGCAUGAGUGAGGAAGAUUAGGCAAUGGGCGCUAGCCUGAACCAGCCAAGUAGCGUGAAGGAUGAAGGCUUAUGGGUCGUAAACUUCUUUUAUAUAAGAAGAUGUAUUAUAUGAAUAAGGAUCGGCUAACUCCGUGCCAGCAGCCGCGGUAAUUC